GGCGUCUGUAGUGCAAUUGGUCAACACGUGCCCUCAGAAAGGAUAAAAUGCGGGUUCAAUUCCUGUGUGACGUCA